rnacentral:lncRNA from 1 species
UGUGCCUGUCUGCCCAUGUUCGUGGGAGAGUAUGUGAGCCUUCCUGCUGUAUGCAUGGCUUCCUCUCAGUGUCACUGUAAACUGACGUGAGCGAGCGGUACUGGUCAGCAAGUCUCUAUGUGUAUGUGUGACUUCGAUUCGGCUGCCUUCUGUCGGUCGAUCCGCUCGGUUCCCCCCAGAUGCCUGUGACGAACGCUUGUGUGACCACGAAAAACUGUAGUACGUUUACUUACGGUAUUAUUGUUUUCGAUACCUGCCUCCGUAGAGAGAAUCGCGGGAUGCCGUCCAGCCCCGUUAACUAAUGAAAAAAGAGCACGUGUAUAACUGGAAAGCUUUAACGCGAGAUGUUCUUCAUUGGCACGCUAGCCGCAGAAAAGUGGGUCACUGAGACCAGGAAAUGGAGAAGGAGGCGGUAGCGAGGUGAACGUUCGAGCAAGGACAAACUCACAAACCCAAACGCGUCGUCUGCUGUUGAACAAGAAGCGAUGGCGCAGUGAGGAACCGUGCCUGCCUAAGAGAAUUGUCCUGCAGAAAAGUGAGAGAUGGCCUAACAAGGCCAGGUCGCGAAUAAACUGGAACGGAUUUAUUAAAUCACUAUGUUCGUUGUUGAUUACAUAAGAAAUUCGUAAGGUAAGUGAAUUCUAUUGUGCCUAAUAUUUCGAUUCUAGCACUUGGUAUUAUAUCAACAGACGAGCAGUUCUGCAGAGGAAAAUAGUAAAUUUUGCUGACGGAAGCUAAAACGCAAAGACUAAAUAGUAUGUCACAGGUCACAGCCAACCAUCGUCGAAUAACGGACGGAUCAGUUCAGGACGCCAAUUCUUCAAGUUGUACGGGCUAAAGGGCAUUGGAUACUGUACUCUUUUAGCCUCUGUCUUCAAGUUUAUAACAACAUCACUAUUUUGAUUCUCUAUUUUUUAGCUAACAACAAUGUUGGGAUAACUUGUCAUCUUCAAGACGCUCCACACCCUUGUCUCAAUCUACCAGAUGAAGACCUCCUUGACGAGUUUCUCCGAACUUCAACAUGCCUUCAAGAAAUGUUAUUAUUCUCUAUUAUGCAGAUAUGCGAUACUAUACUGUUGAUCGUUUACCAGUACAUUCUCCUUUAUAGCGACAAUGAUCUUUCUCGUUACUCGCAGAGAAGACUGUAUUUCGGCGAAUUUAUCUAAGCAUCUUUUUUUUCCAGGACAGUCUAGUGUUAAGAUUCUUCUAUCACCGUUGUACAGGGAGCGCGCCAUACGUAGCAGUGUCAGCGCUUUGCUCUCAGUUUUUAACUACGGAUCUCACUGUCACCUACGUUCCCGUCAUUAUUACGCCAUAGUAUGCGCCGACCGUACGGAGAGUUACCAGAAGUGAUAUUAUUGUAUAAGUAGAACUACUACCAUGGGCAGCCUCGCUGCCAUCACGUCGUGCUCUUUUAGCUUCUGACGGCGUGAGGGACCGCCGCUAUUACUACUACAACUAGUACAUCCGCGCGCGCAGUUAUGGCCGGUAGAUAAUGGCGUUUAGGACGCGGGGCUUAACAGUAGAGUCGACGAGGGCCAUGCCCCAUGCGACUGUGUUGUAUUUUGCGACCAACAGAAUAAAAUAAUAAGAGAAGGAGAAGGAGGAGGGGGAGCAGGAGCAUGGCUGGGGAGGAGGGAGGGAAGAGAAGAGGUCGAUUUGCCGAGCAGGCAAACGCUGAUUCUGCCGUAGCUGACCUGGAUUCAGAGGGCAUCGACUCCCCGACCUGACCUCGACCACUGCUGCAACAACCAUCGCAUCAUUGACAAUCGUUUCAACCACUGCUGAACCACACAACGACCACCACUAAAAACCAACACUGUUUACUACCGUUACCGCCGUCGUCGCCAAUACCGAGCCGGCAAAGCGCCUCUCGCGUCAGCAGCAGCUGCAAAGAACGACUAAACGCAGAGCGCGCGCCGCUCGCAAGGGGCAGACAGACAACUACGGAGAGUUGUAGAGACACAGCAGCCAUAGAGAGUUAGUUGCGUUUGCAACAACAACAACAACAGUAGCGGCGGCCGCGUAAGGAGGCCAUCCGCUCUCGACCCAUUUCGGGUUCGUUCACUUCCGAUCCUCCAGUAGCCUGCAUAGUAACAGGAUUGGGGUAAAGCGCAACGUCAAAACUGCGUUUGACUUUGUGAGGCCAGUACAACCAUAUGCUUACCUAUUCAGCGCCUACAGAUCUUUGACUCUACACCAAGACUGUCCAGACUUAAAUGGCGACCUUUGCUGAUGAGAUAUUAUUGGCCUGUGGGGCCAUGUCAAUCCUGAAAUAAUCCCAAGUUCACGGGGCGAGAGUUUUCGCGCAGCAAUGCAUCAUUUAUCGCCUAAUAUCAAUCAUAGUUUCUCGGCAAAGGCCUGUUUACUAAGUGCAUUAAUCUUCAAAGCUUAAUUCGAUGAUGAAAACAAUAUUACCAUUAAUAUGAUAUGCUACGCUGGAAAACGCACGCGGUAGCAAAACUCAAAUGCAUGAAAUCCUGUGUUUUUGAGAUCUCUUGUAUUCGCGUGAAACAAAUUCGCUUUAUAGAGUAUAGAAGAACACUAUGAAUGUAACAGAUGUCAGGUCGCCCCGAUAUGCUGAAGUUAAUCGCGUCCAACUUCCAAUGUCCUAAUAACGAUGCACUAUCGAACAGCGUCCGAAAAAGAUGGUAAAGGCAUAUUAAGUUGUUAUGAACAUGCACCUAUACAAGGCGUUUAAAGGAUGUAAUAAGACUUAAAGACUGUCGCCACAAAAACCCGAAGGUAAAAUCUUCUUGUCAAAACAGUAUAUUGAAGCAGAACUAUUGAAAAAGCUGAAUACCUAAACGAUAUGUACAUAAAAAGCAAUAAAACGGCGUGUGCCAUUCGAUCAAACUGA